rnacentral:rRNA from 1 species
CCGGCAAACGGGUGCGGAACACGUACGCAACCUUCCUUUAAUUGGAGAAUAGCCCCUCGAAAGAGGGAUUAAUACUCCGUAACAUAAUGAUAAGGCAUCUUAUUAUUAUUAUAGCUCCGGCGGUUAAAGAUGGGCGUGCGACUGAUUAGAUAGUUGGCGGGGUAACGGCCCACCAAGUCUGCGAUCAGUAACUGGUGUGAGAGCACGACCAGUCACACGGGCACUGAGACACGGGCCCG